rnacentral:rRNA from 1 species
CCGGAUACCCCCGGGCGCCGCAUGGCGCCCGGGCUAAAGCCCCGACGGGAGGGGAUGGCUCCGCGGCCCAUCAGGUAGACGGCGGGGUGACGGCCCACCGUGCCGACAACGGGUAGCCGGGUUGAGAGACCGACCGGCCAGAUUGGGACUGAGACACGGCCCAGACUCCUACGGGAGGCAGCAGUGGGGAAUCUUGCGCAAUGGGGGGAACCCUGACGCAGCGACGCCGCGUGCGGGACGGAGGCCUUCGGGUCGUAAACCGCUUUCAGCAGGGAAGAGUCAAGACUGUACCUGCAGAAGAAGCCCCGGCUAACUACGUGCCAGCAGCCGCGGUAAUACGUAGGGGGCGAGCGUUAUCCGGACUCAUUGGGCGUAAAGCGCGCGUAGGCGGCCCGGCAGGCCGGGGGUCGAAGCGGGGGGCUCAACCCCCCGAAGCCCCCGGAACCUCCGCGGCUUGGGUCCGGUAGGGGAGGGUGGAACACCCGGUGUAGCGGUGGAAUGCGCAGAUAUCGGGUGGAACACCGGUGGCGAAGGCGGCCCUCUGGGCCGAGACCGACGCUGAGGCGCGAAAGCUGGGGGAGCGAACAGGAUUAGAUACCCUGGUAGUCCCAGCCGU